UUGUACUAGCUUAAGCAACAUAUACAGUAACAUUGGAAUGAUACAAAGAACAUUAGCAUCGCCUCUGCACAAGGAUGAUAUACAAAAUCAUGAAAUGUUAUAAAAGGGU